CUAGUCAGUGUCUCGGGUCAGAGUGAGAGCAAACGCUGUACUAGACAAUGAGUAAGGAGCUGAUGCGCCACAUUGUGGUGAGGCAUGGCAACGCAAUUAAAUAACACAAAUGGUUUUAGUACCCAUGUGGGUUACAUAUAUCACUCUGGUUCAAACAAUGGGACAGCAAUCUGUUACAGUCCAAUCCAA